UUAAGCGACUAAGCGUACACGGUGGAUGCCCUGGCAGUCAGAGGCGAUGAAGGACGUGCUAAUCUGCGAUAAGCGUCGGUAAGGUGAUAUGAACCGUUAUAACCGGCGAUUUCCGAAUGGGGAAACCCAGUGUGAUUCGUCACACUAUCAUUAACUGAAUCCAUAGGUUAAUGAGGCGAACCGGGGGAACUGAAACAUCUAAGUACCCCGAGGAAAAGAAAUCAACCGAGAUUCCCCCAGUAGCGGCGAGCGAACGGGGAGCAGCCCAGAGCCUGAAUCAGUGUGUGUGUUAGUGGAAGCGUCUGGAAAGGCGCGCGAUACAGGGUGACAGCCCCGUACACAAAAAUGCACAUACUGUGAGCUCGAUGAGUAGGGCGGGACACGUGGUAUCCUGUCUGAACAUGGGGGGACCAUCCUCCAAGGCUAAAUACUCCUGACUGACCGAUAGUGAACCAGUACCGUGAGGGAAAGGCGAAAAGAACCCCGGCGAGGGGAGUGAAAAAGAACCUGAAACCGUGUACGUACAAGCAGUGGGAGCACAGAGCAAUCUGUGUGACUGCGUACCUUUUGUAUAAUGGGUCAGCGACUUAUAUUCUGUAGCAAGGUUAACCGAAUAGGGGAGCCGAAGGGAAACCGAGUCUUAACUGGGCGUUAAGUUGCAGGGUAUAGACCCGAAACCCGGUGAUCUAGCCAUGGGCAGGUUGAAGGUUGGGUAACACUAACUGGAGGACCGAACCGACUAAUGUUGAAAAAUUAGCGGAUGACUUGUGGCUGGGGGUGAAAGGCCAAUCAAACCGGGAGAUAGCUGGUUCUCCCCGAAAGCUAUUUAGGUAGCGCCUCGUGAAUUCAUCUCCGGGGGUAGAGCACUGUUUCGGCAAGGGGGUCAUCCCGACUUACCAACCCGAUGCAAACUGCGAAUACCGGAGAAUGUUAUCACGGGAGACACACGGCGGGUGCUAACGUCCGUCGUGAAGAGGGAAACAACCCAGACCGCCAGCUAAGGUCCCAAAGUCAUGGUUAAGUGGGAAACGAUGUGGGAAGGCCCAGACAGCCAGGAUGUUGGCUUAGAAGCAGCCAUCAUUUAAAGAAAACGUAAUAGCUCACUGGUCGAGUCGGCCUGCGCGGAAGAUGUAACGGGGCUAAACCAUGCACCGAAGCUGCGGCAGCGACGCUUAUGCGUUGUUGGGUAGGGGAGCGUUCUGUAAGCCUGCGAAGGUGUGCUGUGAGGCAUGCUGGAGGUAUCAGAAGUGCGAAUGCUGACAUAAGUAACGAUAAAGCGGGUGAAAAGCCCGCUCGCCGGAAGACCAAGGGUUCCUGUCCAACGUUAAUCGGGGCAGGGUGAGUCGACCCCUAAGGCGAGGCCGAAAGGCGUAGUCGAUGGGAAACAGGUUAAUAUUCCUGUACUUGGUGCUACUGCGAAGGGGGGACGGAGAAGGCUAUGUUGGCCGGGCGACGGUUGUCCCGGUUUAAGCGUGUAGGCUGGUUUUCCAGGCAAAUCCGGAAAACUAAGGCUGAGGCGUGAUGACGAGGCACUACGGUGCUGAAGCAACAAAUGCCCUGCUUCCAGGAAAAGCCUCUAAGCAUCAGGUAACAUCAAAUCGUACCCAAACCGACACAGGUGGUCAGGUAGAGAAUACCAAGGCGCUUGAGAGAACUCGGGUGAAGGAACUAGGCAAAAUGGUGCCGUAACUUCGGGAGAAGGCACGCUGAUAUGUAGGUGAAGCGACUUGCUCGUGGAGCUGAAAUCAGUCGAAGAUACCAGCUGGCUGCAACUGUUUAUUAAAAACACAGCACUGUGCAAACACGAAAGUGGACGUAUACGGUGUGACGCCUGCCCGGUGCCGGAAGGUUAAUUGAUGGGGUCAGCGCAAGCGAAGCUCUUGAUCGAAGCCCCGGUAAACGGCGGCCGUAACUAUAACGGUCCUAAGGUAGCGAAAUUCCUUGUCGGGUAAGUUCCGACCUGCACGAAUGGCGUAAUGAUGGCCAGGCUGUCUCCACCCGAGACUCAGUGAAAUUGAACUCGCUGUGAAGAUGCAGUGUACCCGCGGCAAGACGGAAAGACCCCGUGAACCUUUACUAUAGCUUGACACUGAACAUUGAGCCUUGAUGUGUAGGAUAGGUGGGAGGCUUUGAAGUGUGGACGCCAGUCUGCAUGGAGCCGACCUUGAAAUACCACCCUUUAAUGUUUGAUGUUCUAACGUUGACCCGUAAUCCGGGUUGCGGACAGUGUCUGGUGGGUAGUUUGACUGGGGCGGUCUCCUCCUAAAGAGUAACGGAGGAGCACGAAGGUUGGCUAAUCCUGGUCGGACAUCAGGAGGUUAGUGCAAUGGCAUAAGCCAGCUUGACUGCGAGCGUGACGGCGCGAGCAGGUGCGAAAGCAGGUCAUAGUGAUCCGGUGGUUCUGAAUGGAAGGGCCAUCGCUCAACGGAUAAAAGGUACUCCGGGGAUAACAGGCUGAUACCGCCCAAGAGUUCAUAUCGACGGCGGUGUUUGGCACCUCGAUGUCGGCUCAUCACAUCCUGGGGCUGAAGUAGGUCCCAAGGGUAUGGCUGUUCGCCAUUUAAAGUGGUACGCGAGCUGGGUUUAGAACGUCGUGAGACAGUUCGGUCCCUAUCUGCCGUGGGCGCUGGAGAACUGAGGGGGGCUGCUCCUAGUACGAGAGGACCGGAGUGGACGCAUCACUGGUGUUCGGGUUGUCAUGCCAAUGGCACUGCCCGGUAGCUAAAUGCGGAAGAGAUAAGUGCUGAAAGCAUCUAAGCACGAAACUUGCCCCGAGAUGAGUUCUCCCUGACUCCUUGAGAGUCCUGAAGGAACGUUGAAGACGACGACGUUGAUAGGCCGGAUGUGUAAGCGCAGCGAUGCGUUGAGCUAACCGGUACUAAUGAACCGUGAGGCUUAACCUU
rnacentral:rRNA from 1 species